CCCAGCAAAACUGACUAUAUACUUCCAGGGGAAAGUAAGGUCAUUUAACAAAAUAGAAGAUUUCCAAGCAUUUGCUAAGAAAAGACCAGAGCUCUGUGGAAAGUUCGAUAUCCAAGCACAGAAAGCAAGAGAAACAUGAAAAGCCAGUUUCCAAGGUCUGCAUCCUCAGGCUAGGACGGAUGGAGGAGUGCCUUCUUUCAAGACUCUCUAAAAGGAUUGGAGCUUUAGAAGGAGAGGAAAGGAGGACAAACCAUUUUGUUGGGAAGUUCCUCUGAAACCCUUUGGCCUUCCCAUAAGUGAGGUGACUGAAGGAGUGAAGUAUAUCAGUGCCCAGAGGGAAAGCUCAAGUCCCAUCCCUAUCAUUUUUCUGUUCUUUAUGGUAUUCCAUGAGGACAGACAGACAACGGCUCUUCGAGGGAACAAUUCCUGGGUCAAAUCUAAUAUGUAGACAGAGGGGAAGAGAAGGGUGGGGGGAGAGAGGAAAAGAAGGGAUGCUCGAUCGUCUGUUGAGCCCUCUUGGGCUUGACAAGAAAGAGCUUUCUGAACUUGAAAUGUCCUAUCAAACAGCUUCCUGCAUCACCCAAAAUAGAUUGUAUCUACUUAGCAACAAGUUGGAAGCAACCGCCUGGUAAGCCAGUCUUCAUUUCCUUCCAAAAGAAAGUCAAUCACAAGUUAAAAGGUCUGCACAGAACAUUUCCUUGAUUCAUAAUGAGAUUUAUUCUCAAAGGUAAAGAAUUCAGGAAAGAAAGAAUUCUUUUUAGGAACACGGGUGCUCUGUUUUGACACAGACUCUGCAUAAUUUCCAUGUGGGGAAUGUGGGAAUCAGAUUAAACCACCAGCUUAUAAAUAGCUGUGAGCCUGUAGCCUGAGUCUCUGGCUUGUUUGUUUAUUGAUGCAUUUUUACUUCAGUCACCCCAUUUUUCU